GGGGGAGAGCUUCCUGUUCCAUCUGCUGUCUUACAUCCAGUGCCUUCCCCAUUUCUGUGAGAAAUCAAGGUGCUUUUGUAUAUAUUCAGAAAAUUUGUAAUGAUUUUUUCUCUACUGCCAUUCUGUUAAUUUUAUUUGUAUUUCUGCAGCAGUUCCUUCUGUUAAACAAUGAAAGGCAAAGCUUGUUAGCUGUUACAGCUACCUGAUUGCUCUCUCAGCUAAACGAGUGGCAGAAAUCUCCUUUUGUAUCAUGUCCAUAAGGAUCUGAAGGGUUUUUUUUCUGUGGGUCUCAGAGUAGUUAGUAAGCUUCUAUAUAAGUAUUUAAGAAUUUAAUCUUAAAUUCUGUAUGUAAGGAAAAAAUAAUAUUGAUUAAUAUUGUAACCCAGGAUUCCUGUUUUCUGGAAAUGUAGAUAGAUCCAGGGAUAAGUAAAUCAGUCUUAGCAGGACCCCACUGUGUUUCUUUUAGCCCAGCUUUUUUCUUUAUUUUGAAAACAGACAUGGGGCAUAGAAGGUAGAACUGUACCCAGAAGUGGUCACACUUCCGUAACUUUGUAAUGUGCCUAAGUUCCUCACUGCACUUCCUUCCUGCCUCCUCCUUUGUCUAGGCCCAGCAUUAAUACAGCCAGGUGAGAACUUGGUUGGGAAUUCAAGAUGUCUGAAACAGCUUUUUUCUGUGUUAGCAUCAGAGCUGGGUCAUUUUCCUAAUCUGGUUCACUGUGUAGCUGGGAAAGUGCACUGGCACAAGGAGGGAGUAGCACUGAGGUGGGAGUUAGCACGCAGGGAAUGGGAUGUGGUUGGGAUUUCUGAUUUCUUACUCAAUUGCAAGUGCAUUGCAGUUCAAAGGAAACAGGGUAGAUUAAAAUGAAAUAAGUCUUCGGCAUUCAAAUUAAUAUUUGUUGGCACCCUGUCCAUGAAACUGCAGCUCAAGAAGGUCUCUUGCCUUCAUUUCAUUCACUACUUGCUACUUGCAUUUCUUACUCAAGCUAUUUGUUUCUGUCUUUUUCUUGCAAUCAUGCAGGGGGAGUUUCUUGUUCAUGUCAGUUCUUGGAACUGCUCAUGGUAAACCCCUUCCUUCAUUGCCAUUCCCUUGCUUCCCAGGCACUUCCCUAACUUAAAAUCUUUCCUGUUUUUCAAGUAAAGUAAUUGUGAAGUACUUCUAAUGGUGUUCUGUGUGAAGGAUGAGAGAUUGGAAGAUUGUGGGGUUUUGGUGCAGUAGCAGAAGACAGGUAGUGUCCCAUAUAAACACUUUUUGUAGACUGAUUGCUGACUUGCUUUAGCUCAGCUGUGUUCUGUGACUUUCCAUGUUUAAUAGCAUUUGUUCUUGGCUUUGGAGUGUUGUUUUAACAGUUACCAUGUAAACAAUAUUUAACAGUAUUCAGUGUUUGAGUAGCUUUCUCCUUCCAUGGUAAAGGUCACUGGGAUUCCUUUAAGCUUUUCUCUUUUCUUUAAAAUGUAACAGGCAAUGUAAUUUAUAAUGUCAAAGCAGGACCAGAGUCCCACAGCCAAAGUGCCUCUUCUGGCUAUUUAACACUAGGGAAGUCUGGUGAUUUUUGGGCCAUUCCUUUAAGGUACUAGCAAGCAUUACUGUGUCCCAGAGACCUUUACAAAGCUUUGUUCCCUGCAUUAUUUUCCAGUGCUAGCUCUUUUUUUAUAUAUCAUAGGAAUGUCUUGACUUAAGACCUUUUAGGCUGUAUAUCUCUCUUAAGGCAUCAUUUCUUUUAAAUCCAUUUUUGCCUCAAGUAAUUCAUACCAGAAGGUCCUCUUCAGCCACCCUUUUCAAUGUUUAGAGUGCCUUAAAAAUUAGGUUCUCCAAUUCCAACCUGAUCUUGCAUUCCAAAAUAAAAUCCAUGCAAAUCUAAAAUAUCCUUAUGACAAAAAAAAAAAUUGUUGUAUUACUGUGAUAAUUAAAGAACUUCAGGGGAAUUCUGUAACAGUCCAGGUAAUACUGGAACUGCCCUUCUGCUGGCCUUAGCGUAAGAUACAAUGGAUACUCAAUUGUGUGAGGGCUGUUUUAGUCCUGAUUCACUCCCAGGCCUAGCAAGUUAAGAAAAAUCCUGCAUGUUGGAUUAUAUCCAGGCAAGUCAGUGUAUUCUGUCUUCGUUGCUUCUCUCUCCCUGAGCCAGUUGCCUCUAGAACAUUUGGAUAAAGUCCAGAUCUGGAAAGUGACUGUGAGAGCAAGUCUGGUGCUCUGGAUCUUGUCCAGGAAUGAAGCAGGACUCUGUGUGUUGAGCCUGUUUCUUCCCUGAGCCAGUGCCUAAUGCUCUGGACCAAUUCCAGGCAUGGGCAAGCUGCAGUUGUACAGGAGCCAGAGACAGCAACACGGCCUUGACACUCCUUCAGUGAAGGCUCGCAGUUGCGCAGUAAUGAAACCACAAAGGGCAGCUGCCUGAAAUCUCUGGGAACCUCCCCCUUUCCUCUUCAACUGCUGCUCCAUAACCUUGCCUGUCUGGUGUUUGUAUGUGCUUGCCUGACUCUUUACUCACUCUCAGCCUGGCACCCCUGGAUGCGGGAUAUCUGCAGCCAAGAGCUGGGCUUGCUGGGAUGUAAUCUAAUUGGUGUGCUGAUGAUCAGAGCAGUAUUGACUUCUGCAUCACACUUAGUUAGGGUUCCUGGAGUUUAAUUGCCAGCUAUGAACAAACAUGGGUGUUACUUUGCUCCCAGGCACACGUCUAACUCUGUAAACUGCUUUCCAUAUGCAUCACUUCUGGUGCAAGUUCUUUUCCCAGGCUCACUAGCUGGUAGGAAGGGAUUUAUCUAAGUCAUAUCUAAGUAACCUUACUAAAUAAAUAAAUAACUGUUGGGCUCACUUGUGUUACAGGAUAAGAAAGGAAGGAAUACAUUAUUUUAAGCUUCACUGUCUCUCUAUGCAGAGUAAGAAUGAGAACUGUAACUCAGAGAAAUGAAAUUUUAACUUUAUGGUUUCUCUUUUGAGCUGAGCCUCCGCCAACCUAGUAAACUCCUGAAGUUCAUUUUCUCACCUCAGAAAAUUUCUGGACAGGGAGAACAUGUGCCACACUUGGACGUUUCCACAUGUGUCUUGAAAGACAUCACAAGCUUAGUCCUUCUAUGAACUGUCUCUGUAAUGUGCAAAUUAGAUCAAAAAAGCAAAAAGAAA